AAGACAACAUCAUCUACAAAUAACAUGCAUGCUAAAAUAUUAUCUUGAAUAUGAUUGGUUAGCUCAUUCAUAAAUGAGGUAAACGGAUACAAACUCAAAGUUGAUCCUUGAUGCAAACAUAUGUUAUGGAGAAUUUGUCAAUAUCCUCUCCCACUAUUCUUACACUCAUAACCGCCCCCUCAUACAUGUCCUUAAAUGAUAUUUAUAUAUUUAUUUGUACUUUAUUGUCAUGAUACAAUGUUCACUAGGACCUGACCAUAUAACAGUUUUUCCUGAUGUGUUAUGAGAAUACAAUCCUUUUCAAUUAAAUUUGUAGGGUAAGCAGCAAGACCCUCUGUAUAUAUUGUAAAAUAAACAUACUGACUGAUUAAGGCCAAGGAGAAUUACCUAUUUAAAUACUACACUUUCUUAUUUAGAUAUUCAACUCUAUUGAACUACUAGUAAAGUAGCCAUUUUGUUUACUCUUCUCAUGGUCUGUGGAAUACAUAAGCAUGCCAGGGUGGUCUGAACUGAGAGAUUCUUAAAAGUGAUCCUGAAUGUUAAGUAGAGAGUAGAGAUGAGAAUAAUGAGGCAACUGUGCAGGAUGCAAUAGGCAAAUGUGUGUUUGAAUUAUUGUUGAGAUAUAAAGAAGUUUGUAAGGUGCAUAUUGGAGGAAUUAUACUGGAAAGUUUCAGGUGUUCCUUAGCAUGCUUCAAUGAUGACGUUAUUUUAAAUAAUAUUAUCAUUUUUAUUAUUCCACCUCAUGUAGUGAAACUGACUUUGAGAUUUAGAGUGCCUACAACUUUGGAAUCAGGUUUUUUGUUACUAUAAAUUGCUCAUCUGGACUCCAGCUAGUGAAUAUGGG
rnacentral:misc_RNA from 1 species